rnacentral:misc_RNA from 1 species
AUUAUCUCAUACAUCAUUUGCAUUGUCAUUUUCUACAUUGUAAAAGGAAAGAAAAACGAGUUACAUGAGAUAAGUUACUAUGCUGUUUCAAAAAGAGUAUAUGGAAAAUGGCAAUUUUGCAAAGCCCACUAUUGGCAAUCGCAAACUUCCAAUUUUCUCGCCGCAGAGGGUGGCACACGACUAAAGGUUUAUGGAAGAGAUAAUACACUGAUCCUAAACAAGGUGAAAAAAAAUCCUAAUACAAGCCAAAUUCUAACACAUAAUAAAUGGGUUCUAAGACCUAACCUGCCAAUAAAGAAUCCUUUGCGUAAGAGUUCCAGUAGGAUUGCCCUCAGGCCACAUUGGAACUACUAUAUAAGCUGAAAAUCUCUCAUUCGAAUAAAUCUUGUUUGCAAUUUUCAGUGCUAUCUCAAUGGGUAUCAGAUUAUUAGCACUUGCAAUGUACUGUACUUCACAUUCCUGAAUUUUGGAAACUUCAGAUGACACUACUAGAGAUAUGCUUAUUUAAGACACAUUUUAAGAUGGAUAUCGGUGCAUGUUAUAAAAGCGUCUUUUAUAAUAUGCUGAUGAGUAAGAUAAGACAAUUUUUUGGAGAUCCGUCUUUAAUAAAAAAGUGAUUUGAGACGGUUACAUUGUAAAAAUUGUCUUACAUUGAGUUAAGACGAAUAGUUAUUGAAAACCGUCUCAAAUAAAUAUACCUUUUGAG